UACAGAGGUCUCAAGCGUUUGUUCGGAUUCAUUGGGCGUAAAGGGUGCGUAGGCGGCGCGGUAAGUCGGGUGUGAAAUCUCGGGGCUUAACUCCGAAACUGCAUUCGAUACUGCCGUGCUUGAGGACUGGAGAGGAGACUGGAAUUUACGGUGUAGCGGUGAAAAUGCGUAGAUAUCGUAAGGAAGACCAGUGGCGAAGGCGGGUCUCUGGACAGUUCCUGACGCUGAGGCACGAAGGCCAGGGGAGCAAACGGG
rnacentral:rRNA from 1 species